rnacentral:rRNA from 1 species
UACGGAGGGUGCAAACGUUGCUCGGAAUUAUUGGGCGUAAAGCGCGUGUAGGCGGCUUGGCAAGUCGGAUGUGAAAGCCCUCGGCUUAACCGAGGAAGUGCGUUCGAAACUGCCUGGCUUGAGUACCGGAGAGGGUGGCGGAAUUCCCGGUGUAGAGGUGAAAUGCGCAGAUAUCGGGAGGAACACCAAUGGCGAAGGCAGCUCGCUGGGACGUUACUGACGCUGAGACGCGAAAGCGUGGGGAGCAACAGG